rnacentral:rRNA from 1 species
GUGAACGCUGGCGGUAGGCCUAACACAUGCAAGUCGAACGGCAGCACAGUAAGAGCUUGCUCUUACGGGUGGCGAGUGGCGGACGGGUGAGGAAUACAUCGGAAUCUACUUUUUCGUGGGGGAUAACGUAGGGAAACUUACGCUAAUACCGCAUACGACCUACGGGUGAAAGCAGGGGAUCUUCGGACCUUGCGCGAUUGAAUGAGCCGAUGUCGGAUUAGCUAGUUGGCGGGGUAAAGGCCCACCAAGGCGACGAUCCGUAGCUGGUCUGAGAGGAUGAUCAGCCACACUGGAACUGAGACACGGUCCAGACUCCUACGGGAGGCAGCAGUGGGGAAUAUUGGACAAUGGGCGAAAGCCUGAUCCAGCCAUACCGCGUGGGUGAAGAAGGCCUUCGGGUUGUAAAGCCCUUUUGUUGGGAAAGAAAAGCAGCAGGUUAAUACCCCGCUGUUCUGACGGUACCCAAAGAAUAAGCACCGGCUAACUUCGUG